rnacentral:rRNA from 1 species
UACGUAGGGUGCGAGCGUUGUCCGGAAUUAUUGGGCGUAAAGGGCUCGUAGGCGGUUUGUCGCGUCGGGAGUGAAAACCCAGGGCUUAACCCUGGGCUGGCUUCCGAUACGGGCAGACUAGAGGUAUGCAGGGGGAGAACGGAAUUCCUGGUGUAGCGGUGAAAUGCGCAGAUAUCAGGAGGAACACCGGUGGCGAAGGCGGGUCUCUGGGCAGUAACUGACGCUGAGGAGCGAAAGCGUGGGGAGCGAACAGG